GUGGAGCAUGUGGCUUAAUUUGACUCAACACGGGAAAUCUUACCGGGUCCGGACACACUGAGGAUUGACAGGUGAAUGUAGUUUGUGUUUCCUUCUUGGAUUCACAGGCUCUGCAAAUAUGCUAGUCCUUUCAUGAUUGUGUGAUAGGUGGUGCAUGGCCGUUCUUAGUUCGUGGAGCAAUCUGUCUGCUUAAUUGCGCCAUUAAUAGUGGACCAUACUCUAUAUGUGGUCUGAGUUGCUAUUGCUCCUGCGACUCUGUCGUUAGGUUGUCAAUUAGUAGCUUAGUUUCCACUGGGUAGGUGUCCCCUGGCAACGAACGUGACCGCAACUUUUAGUUGCUCUGAUUUACAGGUGAGUUCAAAUUUCUAUUUUGUCUCACUAGAGCUAAACUAAAGGGACCGCUAACAUUUAAUACCUUGGAGGAAGGUUGCGGCAAUAACAGGU
rnacentral:rRNA from 1 species